UCGCAGUAUUCAUAACGCCAGCUGCCUCUGCCUCUGCCUUACCUUCUUCAGAUAAAUCAAUCGAAAAAGACCAAGCCCUAUUGCAUUUCUGUGUCAAAUCUUAAGUAUAAUUGUUGGUUUGAGAGGUUGAAGCUGCCAGCAUGAUCUGGUAACAAGAAGUUGCCAUUGUAAAACUGAUUUGAAGUUAGUGUUAGGUUCGACCAGGUCAUCUAGUAGCUUCAAUCACUCACCAACAAUAUCAAAAUUACUCAAGAUUCCUCUUCUUCUAUAUACGUUAAUUGCUUGGAGUCAGGUUACUAUGUGCACUUAUUAGUAAAAUUUGUUCCAUUUAUUUAUUCUUACCUCAUUCUGCCAUUUUUCUAAGAUUACUGACAUUUUGAUGAACAAAAUUAAUAUGGAAAAUAACCAAAUAUUAUAACGAAUCCAUUUGUUUGCAUCCUCAACUCAAACACUACAAACACUAAAACGCAAUGGUAUAGAAAUUUCUUAAUUUUGUUCGUUUAUUUGUUGAUUGUCUGUGAAGCACCAACAAGCUAUUGACGUCGGUGUAUUGAUUUUCAGUGUGCCAGUGUCCAACACCUACUGGAUACCAGUACGUCUCCGACACUGUGUUAACACAUGUUGGAGGUCCCUUAUAGCGAUUCUUGGUCAAGAAGAAAUGAAGAAGGCUGAGGGCUGCUGUGGAUGGUUUGGUCAAGAAGAAAGAAAAAUCAGGCGGCUGAAAAGUAGAAGGCUAAGCUGCUGCUUCGACGGGAAGAAGAAAUCCAUAAUUUGUUGAAGAAAAGUGAAGAGGCGUGGUUAUACGUAAAUGAAAAAAAUAUUGGCUCAAUUUUUUUAACAACACAUUUACUACUUUACCCCCAUUUCAAAAACAAAUUAUAGGUUUUAUAAUAUAGUUAUAAGGGCAUAAUAAUUUUUAUUUAUACACUCUAUUUUAACUGAUGUUGAAUUUCUCAAUCUUCG
rnacentral:lncRNA from 1 species